UCGGCAAACCCAUCGAAAGGUGGGGACGCAAAGCUUUAGUGUCUUACCCGCAACAGCGGAAUGAUUGGCUGGCUGC
rnacentral:ncRNA from 1 species